GGAGGUGUAGCUCAGUGGUACAGUAUGUGCUUAACAUGCACAAAGCUCUAGGUUCAAUCCCAAGCAUCACUA
rfam:Heterocephalus glaber contig155229, whole genome shotgun sequence.